rnacentral:misc_RNA from 1 species
GAUGAAGAACGCAGUGAAAUGCGAUAAGUAAUGUGAAUUGCAGAAUUCAGUGAAUCAUCGAAUCUUUGAACGCACAUUGCGCCCGCCAGUAUUCUGGCGGGCAUGCCUGUUCGAGCGUCAUUUCAACCAUCAAGCCCCCGGCUUGUGUUGGGGACCUGCGGCUGCCGCAGGCCCUGAAAAGCAGUGGCGGGCUCGCUGUCACACCGAGCGUAGUAGAUUUCAUCUCGCCCAGGGCGUGCUGCGGGUUCCGGCCGUUAAACCACCUUCAUAACCCAAGGUUGACCUCGGAUCAGGUAGGAAGACCCGCUGAACUUAAGCAUAUCAAUAAGCGGAGGA